GACGAACGCUGGCGGCGUGCUUAACACAUGCAAGUCGAGCGGUAAGGCCCUUUCGGGGGUACACGAGCGGCGAACGGGUGAGUAACACGUGGGUGACCUGCCCUCAGCUCUGGGAUAAGCCUGGGAAACCGGGUCUAAUACUGGAUAUGACUCCAUGACGCAUGUUGUGGGGUGGAAAGCCUUGUGCGGCUGAGGAUGGGCCCGCGGCCUAUCAGCUUGUUGGUGGGGUGANGGGCCUACCAAGGCGACGACGGGUAGCCGGCCUGAGAGGGCGACCGGCCACACUGGGACUGAGACACGGCCCAGACUCCUACGGGAGGCAGCAGUGGGGAAUAUUGGACAAUGGGCGAAAGCCUGAUCCAGCGGUGCCGCGUGUGUGAAGAAGGCCUGCGGGUUGUAAAGCACUUUCAGUAGGGAAGAAAAGACCGAGUGCCAAUACCACUCGGUCUUGACGUUACCUAAAGAAGAAGCACCGGCUAACCUCCGUGCCAG
rnacentral:rRNA from 1 species